rnacentral:tRNA from 1 species
GGUUCUAUGGUGUAAGUAAACAUAUUAGAUUGCAAAUCUUUAGUUACGGUUAAAUUCCGUUAGAACUU